GGAGGGUGCAAGCGUUAAUCGGAAUUACUGGGCGUAAAGCGCACGCAGGCGGUUGGAUAAGUUAGAUGUGAAAGCCCCGGGCUCAACCUGGGAAUUGCAUUUAAAACUGUCCAGCUAGAGUCUUGUAGAGGGGGGUAGAAUUCCAGGUGUAGAGGUGAAAUGCGUAGAGAUCUGGAGGAAUACCGGUGGCGAAGGCGGCCCCCUGGACAAAGACUGACGCUCAGGUGCGAAAGCGUGGGGAGCAAACAGGAUUAGAUACCCUGGUAGUCCACGCCGUAAACGAUGUCGAUUUGGAGGCUGUGUCCUUGAGACGUGGCUUCCGGAGCUAACGCGUUAAAUCGACCGCCUGGGGAGUACGGCCGCAAGGUUA
rnacentral:rRNA from 1 species